UCUUCUCCCACGUUUCCUGUCCC
rnacentral:miRNA from 1 species